UCGCGUGUCUCAGAGUUUGAUCCUGGCUCAGGACAAACGCUGGCGGCGUGCAUAACACAUGCAAGUCGAACGAGAAUCCAGAGCGCUUCGCCUUCGGGUGAAGCGCUGUGGAGGACAGUGGCAACGGGUGAGUAACGCGUAAGAAACCUGCCUUGUACAGAGGGAUAGCAGCUGGAAACGGCUAUUAAUACCUCAUGAAGCCGAUCCAUCGCAUGAAGGAACGGCCAAAGAUUUAUCGGUAUGAGAUGGUCUUGCGUCUGAUUAGCUGGUUGGUGGGGUAACGGCCUACCAAGGCGACGAUCAGUAGCCGGCCUGAGAGGAUGAACGGCCACAUUGGGACUGAGACACGGCCCAG
rnacentral:rRNA from 1 species